CCUACGGGAGGCAGCAGUAGGGAAUUUUCGUCAAUGGGCGCAAGCCUGAACGAGCGAUGCCGCGUGAGUGAAGAAGGCCUUCGGGUCGUAAAGCUCUGUUGCGGGGGAAAAAAGGCAGCAUCAGGAAAUGGGUGCUGACUGAUGGUGCCCCGCCAGAAAGUCACGGCUAACUACGUGCCAGCAGCCGCGGUAAUACGUAGGUGGCGAGCGUUAUCCGGAAGGAUUGGGCGUAAAGGGUGCGCAGGCGGUCCUGCAAGUCUGGAGUGAAACGCAUGAGCUCAACUCAUGCAUGGCUUUGGAAACUGGAGGACUGGAGAGGAGGAGAGGGCGGUGGAACUCCAUGUGUAGCGGUAAAAUGCGUAGAUAUAUGGAAGAACACCAGUGGCGAAGGCGGCCGCCUGGCCUGUUGCUGACGCUGAGGCACGAAAGCGUGGGGAGCAAAUAGGAUUAGAUACCCCUGUAGUC
rnacentral:rRNA from 1 species